rnacentral:rRNA from 1 species
CUACGGGCCGCUGCAGUAGGGAAUAUUGGACAAUGGGCGAAAGCCUGAUCCAGCCAUGCCGCGUGAGUGCUAAGGCCUUAGGGUUGUAAAACUCUUUCAGAUGGGAAGAUAAUGACGGUACCAUCAGAAGAAGCCCCGGCUAACUUCGUGCCAGCAGCCGCGGUAAUACGAAGGGGGCUAGCGUUGUUCGGAAUCACUGGGCGUAAAGCGCGCGUAGGCGGUCACGUAAGUCAGGGGUGAAAUCCCGGGGCUCAACCCCGGAACUGCCUCUGAAACUACAUGACUAGAGUCCUUGAGAGGGUGGUGGAAUUCCUAGUGUAGAGGUGAAAUUCGUAGAUAUUAGGAGGAACACCAGUGGCGAAGGCGGCCACCUGGCAAGGUACUGACGCUGGGGUGCGAAAGCGUGGGGAGCAAACAGGAUUAGAUACCCGAGUAGUC